rnacentral:rRNA from 1 species
UCAAGAUGAGAUUUCCCAACUUCGGUUAUAAGAUCCCUCAAAGAUGAUGAGGUUAAUAGGUUCGAGGUGGAAGCAUGGUGACAUGUGGAGCUGACGAAUACUAAUCGAUCGAAGACUUAAUCAAAUU